rnacentral:rRNA from 1 species
AGAGUUUGAUCCUGGCUCAGAGCGAACGUUAGCGGCAGGCUUAACACAUGCAAGUCGAGCGAGAAAGGGGCUUCGGCUCCGAGUAAAGCGGCGGACGGGUGCGUAACACGUGGAUAAUCUGCCUCGUGGCGGGGGACAACAGUCCGAAAGGACUGCUAAUACCGCAUGUCAGGUCGGAAACUCCGGUUUCUGACGAAAAAAGAGGGGCGCCCGCAAGGGGCUCUCACCACGAGAUGAGUCCGCGUCCCAUCAGCUAGUUGGCGGUGUAAUAGACCACCAAGGCUUAGACGGGUAGCUGGUCUGAGAGGAUGACCAGCCACACUGGGACUGAGACACGGCCCAGACUCCUACGGGAGGCAGCAGUGGGGAAUAUUGGACAAUGGGCGAAAGCCUGAUCCAGCCAUGCCGCGUGAGUGAUGAAGGCCUCGGUCGUAAG